rnacentral:rRNA from 1 species
GACAGAGGGUGCAAACGUUGUUCGGAAUUACUGGGCGUAAAGCGUGUGUAGGCGGCCUGAUAAGUCGGAUGUGAAAGCCCUGGGCUCAACCCAGGAAGUGCAUUCGAAACUGCCGGGCUAGAGUAUCGGAGAGGUUGGUGGAAUUCUCGGUGUAGAGGUGAAAUUCGUAGAUAUCGAGAGGAACACCGGUGGCGAAGGCGGCCAACUGGACGAAUACUGACGCUGAGACACGAAAGCGUGGGGAGCAAACAGG